UACGUAGGGUGCGAGCGUUGUCCGGAAUUAUUGGGCGUAAAGGGCUCGUAGGCGGUUUGUCGCGUCGGGAGUGAAAACUCAGGGCUUAACCCUGAGCCUGCUUCCGAUACGGGCUGACUAGAGGUAUGCAGGGGAGAACGGAAUUCCUGGUGUAGCGGUGAAAUGCGCAGAUAUCAGGAGGAACACCGGUGGCGAAGGCGGUUCUCUGGAACGCGACUGACGCUGAGACGCGAAAGCGUGGGGAGCAAACAGG
rnacentral:rRNA from 1 species